rnacentral:rRNA from 1 species
UAAGCAUAUCAAUAAGCGGAGGAAAAGAAACCAACAGGGAUUGCCUUAGUAACGGCGAGUGAAGCGGCAAAAGCUCAGAUUUGAAAUCUCUCUCACGAGCGAAUUGUAAUCUGUAGAAGGUUGAAUGGCUGAACUUCUGAUUUAAAUUCCUUGGAACAGGAUAUCAUAGAGGGUGAGAAUCCCGUGAUUUUCAGAAACUAGGUCAAUUAAUUCACCUUUCGACGAGUCGAGUUGUUUGGGAAUGCAGCUCUAAAUGGGUGGUAAAUUUCAUCUAAAGCUAAAUACCUGCCAGAGACCGAUAGCGAACAAGUAGAGUGAUCGAAAGAUGAAAAGCACUUUGAAAAGAGAGUUAAAAAGUACGUGAAAUUGUUGAAAGGGAAGCGCUUGCGAUUAGACUUGAUGUUUAAAUUCGGCCAACCUAUGGGUUCGGUUUACUUUUUAUUCAUCAGGCCAGCAUCAGUUUGGCGAGGUUUAUAAAAUUAAAUGGAAUGUAGCAACGGCUUCGGUCGUUGUGUUAUAGCCAUUUAAAUAAUAAAUUUAUGCCGGACUGAGGUCUGCUCUUCGGAAAGGAUGCUGGCAUAAU